rnacentral:rRNA from 1 species
UACAGAGGUCUCAAGCGUUGUUCGGAUUCAUUGGGCGUAAAGGGUGCGUAGGCGGCGCGGUAAGUCGGGUGUGAAAUCUCGGAGCUUAACUCCGAAACUGCAUUCGAUACUGCCGUGCUUGAGGACUGGAGAGGAGACUGGAAUUUACGGUGUAGCGGUGAAAUGCGUAGAUAAUCUGGAGGAACACCGGUGGCGAAGGCGGCAUCCUGGACCGGAAAUUGA